rnacentral:rRNA from 1 species
UACAGAGGGUGCGAGCGUUGUUCGGAAUUAUUGGGCGUAAAGCGCGCGCAGGCGGGGUGGUAAGUCGGAUGUGAAAGCCCUCGGCUCAACCGAGGAAGUGCGUUCGAAACUACUGUUCUUGAGUGUCGGAGAGGGUGGCGGAAUUCCCGGUGUAGAAGUGAAAUUCGUAGAUAUCGGGAGGAACACCAGAGGCGAAGGCGGCCACCUGGACGAACACUGACGCUGAGGCGCGAAAGCGUGGGGAGCAAACAGG